rnacentral:rRNA from 1 species
UACAGAGGGGGCAAGCGUUGUUCGGAAUUACUGGGCGUAAAGGGCGCGUAGGCGGCCUUCUAAGUCGGACGUGAAAUCCCCCGGCUCAACCCGGGAACUGCGUCCGAUACUGGAAGGCUUGAAUCCGGGAGAGGGAUGCGGAAUUCCAGGUGUAGCGGUGAAAUGCGUAGAUAUCAGGAGGAACACCGGUGGCGAAGGCGGAUCUCUGGGCCGUAACUGACGCUGAGGAGCGAAAGCAUGGGGAGCGAACAGG